UACAGAGGUCGCAAGCGUUGUUCGGAUUCAUUGGGCGUAAAGGGUGCGCAGGUGGCCUGGUAAGUCGGAUGUGAAAUCCCGGGGCUCAACCCCGGAACUGCAUUCGAUACUGCUGAGCUAGAGUACUGGAGAGGAGAUUGGAAUUUACGGUGUAGCAGUGAAAUGCGUAGAUAUCGUAAGGAAGACCAGUGGCGAAGGCGGAUCUCUGGACAGUUACUGACACUGAGGCACGAAGGCCAGGGGAGCAAACGGG
rnacentral:rRNA from 1 species